GACGAACGCUGGCGGCGUGCCUAAUACAUGCAAGUAGAACGCUGAAGGAGGAGCUUGCUCUUCUGGAUGAGUUGCGAACGGGUGAGUAACGCGUAGGUAACCUGCCUGGUAGCGGGGGAUAACUAUUGGAAACGAUAGCUAAUACCGCAUAACAGUAGAUGUUGCAUGACAUUUGCUUAAAAGGUGCAAUUGCAUCACUACCAGAUGGACCUGCGUUGUAUUAGCUAGUUGGUGGGGUAACGGCUCACCAAGGCGACGAUACAUAGCCGACCUGAGAGGGUGAUAGGCCACACUGGGAAUGAGACACGGCCCAGACUCCUACGGGAGGCAGCAGUAGGGAAUCGUCGGCAAUGGACGGAAGGCUGACCGAGCAACGCCGCGUGAGUGAAGAAGGGUGUCGGAUCGGAAAGCUCUGUUGUAAGAGAAGAACGAGUGUGAGAGUGGAAAGUUCACACUGUGACGGUAUCUUACCAGAAAGGGACGGCUAACUACGUG
rnacentral:rRNA from 1 species